AGAGUUUGAUCCUGGCUCAGGAUGAACGCUAGCGGCAGGCCUAAUACAUGCAAGUCGAGGGGCAGCACAGGUAGCAAUACUGGGUGGCGACCGGCAAACGGGUGCGGAACACGUACGCAACCUUCCUUCAAGCGGGGAAUAACCCAGAGAAAUUUGGACUAAUACCCCAUAGCACUGUUUUUUCGCAUGAAGAGACAUUU
rnacentral:rRNA from 1 species